CGUCCCUCCCCUUCCCUGUGGAGAACCACACUACCGGAGGACACCCAGAGAACUCCUCAUCUCCCAACACUCUGGUCCUAUCCACCGGUCCUGACGCCAGCUCCACCAGCUUGCUCUCACCUCUCCCAUCCCGGGGUCUGAGGGGUUCUGCCCUAGCCGACCCGCCUGGGCUCCUCCACACACACACACACACACCCCUCCCCCCAUCGCUCCCGUCGGACACAAACCACACCCGCCCGCCGCGACCCGCCUGCUCUCUCCUUUCCUCGUCGAGUACCUGACGCCGACGCUUCCGGAUCACGCUCAGGAUGCCGGAAUCCACUAAAAAAGAUGACCAAUCCAAUGGGAAGCCAGGAGGUGAGUGAACAGUGAUGGAAGUCUUCCAAAUAUGAAAUAACAAUUAUAGAGACAGGGUUUGUCCACAGACAACUCUAUAGAGGCAACAGAUAAGACAUGAACACAUAAGAAAUGGAGGCGAAGAUGCCUGCACAGUCCAACCCAAAUCAACAUCCUAUUAAGUAUACACGCGCAAGUGUACACACACUCCAGGGUCCCCGAGCUACAGGGAGGGGGUGUAGAGUGAUGUUGAGGGCGCAGAGAGGGGCUUCUGUGAAGAGGGAAAGUAAGGGUGCAGAGAGACAAGUGGAGUACAGAAGGAGUGGGGCUGCAGAGACAGAAGAGGGCUACAGAGAGGGUCAAGAGACACAGAGAGGUAGGGGAACAGGGGGAGAGAGAAGGUGCUUACACACUGCCCCAACAAACACCAACACCGUAGAAUGUUGGCCAACACCGAUUCAAAAUUUUCUGCAGCAGGAAACUGCGUACAACCACCAAUGGGCCUUACAUAAUGGCCCCAUGUAGGAGUUUAUUGGUGUCGUUUGGGCAAUGGGCAAGCACCUUUAGGGUACAGAUAGAGGGUCAGGGCAAAGAGAUAGGUAAGGGUAUCGAGAGAGGGUUAGGGCACAGAGAUGGGUAGGGGUACAGAGAGAGGGCCAUAGGGAAGAGGAGUCAAAGCCACCUCCAGCAUUCCUCUGUCAGGCCAGCUGAUCCGUCCUCUG
ensembl:lncRNA